rnacentral:rRNA from 1 species
UACGUAGGGGGCAAGCGUUGUCCGGAAUCAUUGGGCGUAAAGCGCGUGUAGGCGGUCCGGUAAGUCCGCUGUGAAAGUCGGGGGCUUAACCCUCGGAUGCCGGUGGAUACUGUCGGGCUUGAGUACGGAAGAGGCGAGUGGAAUUCCUGGUGUAGCGGUGAAAUGCGCAGAUAUCAGGAGGAACACCAAUUGCGAAGGCAGCUCGCUGGGACGGUACUGACGCUGAGACGCGAAAGCGUGGGGAGCAAACAGG